CCUACGGGUGGCAGCAGUGGGGAAUAUUGGACAAUGGGGGCAACCCUGAUCCAGCCAUGCCGCGUGUGUGAAGAAGGCCCUCGGGUUGUAAAGCACUUUCAGUGAGGAAGAACGCCUGGUGGUUAAUACCCAUCAGGAAAGACAUCACUCACAGAAGAAGCACCGGCUAACUCCGUGCCAGCAGCCGCGGUAAUACGGAGGGUGCGAGCGUUAAUCGGAAUUACUGGGCGUAAAGCGCGCGUAGGUGGCUUGAUAAGCCGGUUGUGAAAGCCCCGGGCUCAACCUGGGAACGGCAUCCGGAACUGUCAAGCUAGAGUGCAGGAGAGGAAGGUAGAAUUCCCGGUGUAGCGGUGAAAUGCGCAGAGAUCGGGAGGAAUACCAGUGGCGAAGGCGGCCUUCUGGACUGACACUGACACUGAGGUGCGAAAGCGUGGGUAGCAAACAGGAUUAGAUACCCCAGUAGUC
rnacentral:rRNA from 1 species